GGGUUGUGAGGUUAAGCGACUAAGCGUACACGGUGGAUGCCCUGGCAGUCAGAGGCGAUGAAGGGCGUGCUAAUCUGCGAUAAGCGCCGGUAAGGUGAUAUGAACCGUUAUAACCGGCGAUACCCGAAUGGGGAAACCCAGUGUGACUCGUCACACUAUCAUUAACUGAAUCCAUAGGUUAAUGAGGCGAACCGGGGGAACUGAAACAUCUAAGUACCCCGAGGAAAAGAAAUCAACCGAGAUUCCCCCAGUAGCGGCGAGCGAACGGGGAGGAGCCCAGAGCCUGAAUCAGCAUGUGUGUUAGUGGAAGCGUCUGGAAAGGCGCGCGAUACAGGGUGACAGCCCCGUACACAAAAGCGCAUGUGCUGUGAGCUCGAUGAGUAGGGCGGGACACGUGGUAUCCUGUCUGAAUAUGGGGGGACCAUCCUCCAAGGCUAAAUACUCCUGACUGACCGAUAGUGAACCAGUACCGUGAGGGAAAGGCGAAAAGAACCCCGGCGAGGGGAGUGAAAAAGAACCUGAAACCGUGUACGUACAAGCAGUGGGAGCNNGUGACUGCGUACCUUUUGUAUAAUGGGUCAGCGACUUAUAUUCUGUAGCAAGGUUAACCGAAUAGGGGAGCCGGAGGGAAACCGAGUCUUAACCGGGCGUUAAGUUGCAGGGUAUAGACCCGAAACCCGGUGAUCUAGCCAUGGGCAGGUUGAAGGUUGGGUAACACUAACUGGAGGACCGAACCGACUAAUGUUGAAAAAUUAGCGGAUGACCUGUGGCUGGGGGUGAAAGGCCAAUCAAACCGGGAGAUAGCUGGUUCUCCCCGAAAGCUAUUUAGGUAGCGCCUCGUGAAUUCAUCUCCGGGGGUAGAGCACUGUUUCGGCUAGGGGGCCAUCCCGGCUUACCAACCCGAUGCAAACUGCGAAUACCGGAGAAUGUUAUCACGGGAGACACACGGCGGGUGCUAACGUCCGUCGUGAAGAGGGAAACAACCCAGACCGCCAGCUAAGGUCCCAAAGUCAUGGUUAAGUGGGAAACGAUGUGGGAAGGCCCAGACAGCCAGGAUGUUGGCUUAGAAGCAGCCAUCAUUUAAAGAAAGCGUAAUAGCUCACUGGUCGAGUCGGCCUGCGCGGAAGAUGUAACGGGGCUAAACCAUGCACCGAAGCUGCGGCAGCGACACUGUGUGUUGUUGGGUAGGGGAGCGUUCUGUAAGCCUGUGAAGGUGUGUCGUGAGGCAUGCUGGAGGUAUCAGAAGUGCGAAUGCUGACAUAAGUAACGAUAAAGCGGGUGAAAAGCCCGCUCGCCGGAAGACCAAGGGUUCCUGUCCAACGUUAAUCGGGGCAGGGUGAGUCGACCCCUAAGGCGAGGCCGAAAGGCGUAGUCGAUGGGAAACGGGUUAAUAUUCCCGUACUUGGUGUUACUGCGAAGGGGGGACGGAGAAGGCUAUGUUGGCCGGGCGACGGUUGUCCCGGUUUAAGCGUGUAGGUGUGUGUUCCAGGUAAAUCCGGUUCACUUUAACACUGAGGCGUGACGACGAGGCACUACGGUGCUGAAGCAACAAAUGCCCUGCUUCCAGGAAAAGCCUCUAAGCAUCAGGUAACAUCAAAUCGUACCCCAAACCGACACAGGUGGUCAGGUAGAGAAUACCAAGGCGCUUGAGAGAACUCGGGUGAAGGAACUAGGCAAAAUGGUGCCGUAACUUCGGGAGAAGGCACGCUGACACGUAGGUGAAGUGAUUUACUCAUGGAGCUGAAGUCAGUCGAAGAUACCAGCUGGCUGCAACUGUUUAUUAAAAACACAGCACUGUGCAAACACGAAAGUGGACGUAUACGGUGUGACGCCUGCCCGGUGCCGGAAGGUUAAUUGAUGGGGUCAGCGCAAGCGAAGCUCCUGAUCGAAGCCCCGGUAAACGGCGGCCGUAACUAUAACGGUCCUAAGGUAGCGAAAUUCCUUGUCGGGUAAGUUCCGACCUGCACGAAUGGCGUAAUGAUGGCCAGGCUGUCUCCACCCGAGACUCAGUGAAAUUGAACUCGCUGUGAAGAUGCAGUGUACCCGCGGCAAGACGGAAAGACCCCGUGAACCUUUACUAUAGCUUGACACUGAACAUUGAGCCUUGAUGUGUAGGAUAGGUGGGAGGCUUUGAAGUGUGGACGCCAGUCUGCAUGGAGCCGACCUUGAAAUACCACCCUUUAAUGUUUGAUGUUCUAACGUGGACCCGUUACCCGGGUUGCGGACAGUGUCUGGUGGGUAGUUUGACUGGGGCGGUCUCCUCCUAAAGAGUAACGGAGGAGCACGAAGGUUGGCUAAUCCUGGUCGGACAUCAGGAGGUUAGUGCAAUGGCAUAAGCCAGCUUGACUGCGAGCGUGACGGCGCGAGCAGGUGCGAAAGCAGGUCAUAGUGAUCCGGUGGUUCUGAAUGGAAGGGCCAUCGCUCAACGGAUAAAAGGUACUCCGGGGAUAACAGGCUGAUACCGCCCAAGAGUUCAUAUCGACGGCGGUGUUUGGCACCUCGAUGUCGGCUCAUCACAUCCUGGGGCUGAAGUAGGUCCCAAGGGUAUGGCUGUUCGCCAUUUAAAGUGGUACGCGAGCUGGGUUUAGAACGUCGUGAGACAGUUCGGUCCCUAUCUGCCGUGGGCGCUGGAGAACUGAGGGGGGCUGCUCCUAGUACGAGAGGACCGGAGUGGACGCAUCACUGGUGUUCGGGUUGUCAUGCCAAUGGCACUGCCCGGUAGCUAAAUGCGGAAGAGAUAAGUGCUGAAAGCAUCUAAGCACGAAACUUGCCCCGAGAUGAGUUCUCCCUGAGACUUAGAGUCUCCUGAAGGAACGUUGAAGACGACGACGUUGAUAGGCCGGGUGUGUAAGCGCAGCGAUGCGUUGAGCUAACCGGUACUAAUGAACCGUGAGGCUUAACCUUACAACGCCGAAG
rnacentral:rRNA from 1 species